UGGGGUGUCGCCAAGCGGUAAGGCACCGGACUUUGACUCCGUUAUCCGCUGGUUCGAAUCCAGCCAUCCCAGCCA
rnacentral:tRNA from 1 species